UGUAGAACUUGUUGCUGAUUUUGACCUUGUAUUCAAGUUUACUGUUCCCCUUGGUAUUUGUUUAAUACCCUGUACAUAUCUUUGAUUUCAACCCUUAGUACAUGUGGCUUGGUCACUUCGUGGCUGAGGUAAGAAAGUGUUUGUGGAAGACAAGUCUGUGGCUUGGUGAGUCUGCAUGGCCAGCAGGCUCUGAUCUGUGUAGGGUAUUAAUGUGUCAGGGCUGAGUGUUCUGGAAUUUCUCUAGAGGCUGGCAAGGGCUCCUGAGCCAGUGGUUUCUGUCUUGCUGGUCUGUCAGGGUUGGAAAAGUCCAAGCCAUAGGGCCCAGUUUCCUUUCUUAGCUGAUCUGUGUUUUUUUUUUUGUACACAAUUCUUGAUUCUUUAAAGAGAUGACAACAAAUUUUGGUUUUCUACUGUUACGUGAGAACAUUAGCAACACAUCAUUGUGUAAGGAAAAAUAAAAGUGC
rnacentral:lncRNA from 1 species